ACGUAUGGAGCAAGCGUUAUCCGGAUUUACUGGGUGUAAAGGGUGCGUAGGUGGCAGUGCAAGUCAGAUGUGAAAGGCCGGGGCUCAACCCCGGAGCUGCAUUUGAAACUGCAUAGCUAGAGUACAGGAGAGGCAGGCGGAAUUCCUAGUGUAGCGGUGAAAUGCGUAGAUAUUAGGAGGAACACCAGUGGCGAAGGCGGCCUGCUGGACUGUUACUGACACUGAGGCACGAAAGCGUGGGGAGCAAACAG
rnacentral:rRNA from 1 species